rnacentral:rRNA from 1 species
AUUGCACGCUGGCGGCAGGCCUAACACAUGCAAGUCGAACGAGUGGCGGACGGGUGAGUAAUGUAUGGGAAACUGCCUGAUGGAGGGGGAUAACUAAUGGAAACGGUAGCUAAUAACGCAUACCAUAAGAUGUGACCAGAUGGGAUUAUCUUGGUGGUGGUGUAACGGCUAACCAAGGCGACUAGCCCUAGCUGGUCUGAGAGGAUGACCAGCCAACCUGUAACGGAGACACGUUCCAGACUCCUACGGGAGUCAGCAGUGGGGAAUAUUGCACAAUGGGCGCAAGCCUGAGGCAGCCAUUCCGCGUGUAUGAAGAAGGCUUUCGGGUUGUAAAGUACUUUCAGCUGGGAGGCGUUACCCGCAGAAGAUGCACCGGCUAACUCCGUGCCAGCAGCCGCGGUAAUUC